rnacentral:rRNA from 1 species
UACGUAGGGUGCGAGCGUUGUCCGGAAUUACUGGGCGUAAAGGGCGCGUAGGCGGUCGUGACAAGUCACUUGUGAAAUCUCCGGGCUUAACUCGGAACGGUCAAGUGAUACUGUCGGACUAGAGUACAGAAGGGGGCAACUGGAAUUCUCGGUGUAGCGGUGAAAUGCGGUUGAUAUCGGAAGGAACGCCGGGUGGCGAAAGCGGCUUGCUGGACCUCUGCUGACGCUG